UGUCUAGGGGGUGGCCAGGGGUGGCACGUGCUACCCCUGGAAUCUGAUUGGCCACCCCAGGUGCCACCCCAUAUGCUAAACUAUGAUUGGCUAUCUGCCCACGGAGGCGGGAACGUUUGAAUUGUGUGACUACCGAACUUUCAUUUUCAACCGACAAGAAGACAUCAAGAAGACAUCAAGAGAUUGCGGCUACUCGCUCCUGAAAGAUGUCUGUCAUCAUCGCGACUGUCGACAGUGUCGACUGACUCAGCUUGCUGCCUAGCAAACCUGUCCAGGGAUUCUUAGCUCCUGAAAGAUUAUGAAAAGAAAUCAGAACAUUCAGGGAUUCUUCAAAAGAAAGAAAUCCAAAACAACAGAGCAGGACAGAGCAGCAGAAGCCAGCAGUGCUAGUCAGUCUGAGGAUGAGAGCCAGCUUGACUCUGCUAGGGAUGUACAGCAGGAGCCUCCAGCUUCAGCUGUACACAUGGGUAUGUAAAAUCCUGAUAGUUCCAGAUUUCUCUUUAGUAAGCACUUAUUUGAUUGCCUUGAUAAUAUCAAUGACAUUGUGGUUAAUUGCCAGACAUUGAAACUAAAGUUGACACUAACUUCUCAAUUAGUGUAGAAGUGCAAUAGUCAUUAUUUCAUUUUAGUCAUCUGGGUUGCGUAACAUACCACUUAGCCUACUUACAAAAAGGCUGAUUUUAUUAUCAUUCUGAUGACAACGUAUGUGUUUUUGUAGACUCAGACAAGGAUACUGGUGAUGAAGGCCCUUCAUCUUCACUUGCACAUCAGGGUGUGUCAAGUCAGCCACUCUCUGACAAUGACACUGACACUGAGAACCAUCCAGCAGUACCUGCAGGCCAUGCAGUGACACGUGGGGAUGGUGAUGCAGCAGCCCUUGUGGCCCCACCUGGACCUCAUGAUAUUUCACAGUCAAGAGCAGCAGGUCCCUCUCAGCCUCGUUUAAAGGUUUUCCAAGAACCCUCCAAGGUGAGAAGAGGAGGGCGUUCAAUCCAGUGUGGUUUAACCACAAUUCCUGGCUUGAAUACUCACAAAGCAAAGAUUCAGCCUACUGUUACGCAUGCAGACAC